rnacentral:rRNA from 1 species
CGUAGGUAGUUGACUCGAGUGACGGAAGGACGACGCUGGCGGCGUUGGAUUUAGGCAUGGCAAGUCGAACGGUAUCAGUCCGUUUCGGGGGUGAGAGAGUGGCGAACUGGUGAGUAACACGUAGGUUAUCUACCCUCAAGACGGGGACAACCCAGGGAAACUUGGGCUAAUACCGGAUGUGAGCAACUUUUAGUUGUUUGAAAGGUGGCGUAAGCUGUCGCUUGGGGAUGAGCCUGCGUCCUAUUAGUUAGUUGGUGAGGUAACGGCUCACCUAGGCAAUGAUAGGUAGGCGGCCUUAACGGGUGGUCGCCCACACUGGGAUUGAGAUACGGCCCAGACUCCUACGGGAGGCAGCAGUCGAGAAUAGUCUACAAUGGUCGGAAGACUGAUAGUGCGACGCCGCGUGAACGAUGAAUCCCUUCGGGGUGUAAAGUUCUUUUAUAUGUGAGCAGUGCUUCUUAUAUUAACAGUAUGGGGAGAGAGAUAUUAGCAUAUGAAUAAGCAACGGCUAACUCCGUG